rnacentral:rRNA from 1 species
UACGGAGGAUGCAAGCGUUAUCCGGAAUGAUUGGGCGUAAAGCGUCCGCAGGUGGCUAUGUAAGUCUGCUGUUAAAGAGUGAGGCUCAACCUCAUAAGAGCAGUGGAAACUACAUGGCUAGAGUGCGUUCGGGGCAGAGGGAAUUCCUGGUGUAGCGGUGAAAUGCGUAGAUAUUGGGAAGAACACCAGCGGCGAAAGCGCGCUACUGGGCCAUUACUGACACUCAUGGACGAAAGCUAGGGGAGCGAAAGGG